GGAGGUUUUGUGGUCGACAACAAUAUCACAUCUCCUAUUUCGAAGAUUAAUUUUUCGCAAGCUUUUGUUGAGCAGGAUGUGUCUGCAUUUCUGAUGCCUCAAGGAGGUACAGUAAACAAGAAUAGUAAUAGAAGCAGCACUAUAAGUGGAUCUAAAGGGGCUCCUAUUCUUGUACAUGAGAAUUCUCCGAAAGAUAUUUUGAAAUCUUCAAAAGUUUCUAAUGGAUCAAAUGAUUUCCGCG